rnacentral:rRNA from 1 species
GACGGAGGAUGCAAGCGUUAUCCGGAAUGAUUGGGCGUAAAGCGUCCGCAGGUGGCAGUUCAAGUCUGCUGUCAAAGACCGGGGCUUAACUUCGGAAAGGCAGUGGAAACUGAACAGCUAGAGUAUGGUAGGGGCAGAGGGAAUUCCUGGUGUAGCGGUGAAAUGCGCAGAUAUCGGGAGGAACACCGGUGGCGCAAGCGGCUGACUGGCCGAGACCUGACGCUGAGACACGACGGCGUGGGGAGCAAACCGG